rnacentral:rRNA from 1 species
CCGCGUGCGGGAGGAGGCCUCUGGGCUGUAAACCUCUUUUAUCAAGGAAGAAGAUCUGACGGUACUUGAUGAAUAAGCCACGGCUAAUUCCGUGCCAGUUUGCCGCGGUAAUACGGGAGUGGCAAGCGUUAUCCGGAAUUAUUGGGCGUAAAGCGUCCGCAGGCGGCCCACAAAGUCUGCUGUUAAAAAGUGGAGCUUAACUCCGUCGUGGCAGUGGAAACUGCUGGGCUAGAGUGUGGUAGGGGCAGAGGGAAUUCCCGGUGUAGCGGUGAAAUGCGUAGAUAUCGGGAAGAACACCAGUGGCGAAGGCGCUCUGCUGGGCCAUAACUGACGCUCAUG